ACGGUUACCACGGGCAAUUUUUGGCGUCGCAUCUCUCCGGAUGCGAUACAGGCGGCGGCGGUGGGGAUAUGUGUGAUUGUGAAUCGAAUUCCGCAACCGCCAUUGCUGCUCUUGCUCCUAUAGAAGAUAAAUUAGUUUAACAUGAAGCAGGAUCAACAUAGGAAUCCCCGAGUGCAAGAGCAAUGCACUAAUCUUAGUACUUAUAUUAACCUUUUGAUUUGGUAUAUUGGAAUAAAGAAAGAUAUUUGUGUUUA